rnacentral:rRNA from 1 species
GGGAUAGAAUUCCAGGAGUAGCGGUGAAAUGCGUAGAUAUCUGGAGGAAUACCAAAGGCGAAGGCAGUCCCCUGGUCCGAUACUGACACUGAGGUACGAAAGCGUGGGGAGCAAACAGGAUUAGAUACCCUGGUAGUCCACGCCCUAAACGAUGUCGAUUAGCCAUUGGAAGGACCCCUUUUCCUUUCAGUGACGUGGCUAACGCGUUAAAUCGACCGCCUGGGAAGUACGACCGCAAGGUUAAAACUCAAAGGAAUUGACGGGGACCUGAACAAGCGGUGAAUGAUGUGGAUUAAUUCGAUGCUACGCGAAGAACCUUACCUACCUUUGACAUGGCCAAAGUUCUACCGAGAGGCGGAAGUACUCGUAAGAGGAUUGGCGCACAGGUGCUGCAUGGUUGUCGUCAGUUCGUGUCGUGAGAUGUUGGGUUCAGUCCCGCAACGAACGCAACCCUUAUCUUUAAUUGCUCCUAUUUUAACAGGCACUUUAAAGAAACUGCCAAUGAUAAGUUGGAGGAAGGUGGGGAUCACGUCAAGUCCGCAUGGCCUUUAUAGGUAGGGCUUCACACGUCAUACAAUGGUUAGAACAAAGAGCUGCAAAUUCGUAAGAAGGAGCCAAUCUCACAAACCUAACCUCAGUUCGAAUUGCGGUCUGCAACUCGAGCGCAUGAAGCCGGAAUCGCUAGUAAUCGUGGAUCAGAAUGCCACGGUGAAUACGUUCUUAGGUCUU